AGUGCACGGAGGGGCACGCGGCCCCGGUGCGAGCGGCGCAGGAGGGUCGGAUGCUCUCGCGAAGCUGGUGGUGAAGUGGGGGUUCACGGUGGCAGCUGUGGGUUACUGUCCCAGUGCAGAGGGAUCCUGGCAGCGCUGGUCUGGCAGGGAAGGAGGAAUUCAGCGCGGCACCAUGCCUAAGUUUCCUUCUCCUGCAUAUGCGAAGCUGUUGUUUGGCUCCUGGGAGGUGGCAGUGACGCAGGUUUUAACACCCCCCUGACCUGGCACCUGGGCCGGUGCCGCUCAGCGACGCAGCCGGGGUCUCCCUCAAGCUUGGAGCGUGUGGGAAGAGCAUCAGGCAGAGACCUUGUUCCCUCCAUGGGUUGAAGGCAGGAGCAGCUCUGGGGAAUUUAACCUCCUUGAGAACUGGAAAGCAAACGUUCCACUUCCAGUACAGGAAAACAGAAUAAAAGGGAUGGGGAUUCUACCGCCUCCCUGGGCAGCCUCAAGAUGUGAACAGUCCUCAGGGAGCUGCAAGAACCAUCCUGGGAAGAGCUUCUGGUCCCUGCUGCACCCUCUGGCAGCCAGGAAUGAGACUGGUCCUGCAAGGACGGCCAAAGGAGCGCCCAGAGGCGACACAUCGGCUUCAAGGGCAGGUUUGGAGCCCAUGUGCACACCGGUGUGCAAGCCCUCAGGCGCACGCCCCUGCAGGUAUCUCUAGUUGUGCACAUGUGUGUGCAAGCCUCUUGGGCGCACACCCCUGCAGGUAUCUCUAGUUGUGCACGCGUGUGUGCAAACCCCUUGGGCGCACGCCCCUGCAGGUAUCUCUAGUUGUGCACACGUGUGUGCAAACCCCCCCAUGGCAGCCCCCGCAGAGCCCUCCGCAGGUUCAUCCCCCUCCAGUGGUGACCGAACGGCCUCGCCUGGAGUGGGGACCUACACAGAAUCAUAGAAUCACCAGGUUGGAAAGGACCCACUGGAUCAUCGAGUCCAACCAUUCCUAACACUCCCUUAAACCAUGGCCCUCAGCACUUCAUCCACCCGUUCCUUAAACACCUCCAGGGAAGGUGACUCGACCCCCUCCCUGCGCAGCUGUUCCAGUGCCCGAUGACUCUUUCUGUGAAGAAUUUUUUUCUGAUAUCCAACCUGAACCUCCCCUGGUGCAGCUUGAGGCCACUCCCUCUUGUCCUGUCCCCGUCACUGGGGAGAAGAGCCCAGCGCCCUCCUCUCCACAACCUCCUUUCAGGUACACGUUCCGGAAUCCUCAAUAUAAGAAGGAUAUGGAACUCUUGGAGUCAGAUUAGUACAGACCCCACAUCUCCUGGGUGUGGUGGGGUGGGCCCUGAUAGAGGGGGAAUGGAGGGAAGGAAGGGUUUUGCCUGGGAGGGAAUGUGGUGAGAGGUUUCCUGCUCUGUAUUUCAAAAGCUCUGUGCGGGGGCAUCGUGCUCCUGCAAGCAACGUGCGCUCGCAGCCCAGAAACCACCCGUGUCCUGGGCUGCAUCAAAGGAAACGUGGCCAGCAGGGAGGGAGGGGAUUCUGCCCCUCUAUUCCUCUCUUGGGAGACCUCAUCUGGAGGAUUGACUCCAGUUCUGGAAUCCUCAAUGUAAGAAGGAGAUGGAGCUGUAGGAAUGGGUCCAGAGGAGGCUCCAAGGAUGAUAUGAGGGCUGGAGAACCUCCUGUGCAAGGACAGGCUGAGAGAGUUGGGCUUGUUCAGCUUGGAGAAGAGAAAGCUCCGAGGAGAUCUUAUAGUGACCUUUCAGAACCUGAAGGGGCUCCAGGAAAGCUGUGGAGGGGCUGUUCAUAAAGGCUGUGGGGAUGGGACGAGGGGGAACGGGGAUAAACUGGAGACGGUCAGAUUUAGACUGGACAUAAGGAAGAAUUUCUUCCCCAUGAGAGCAGCGAGACACUGGAACAGGUUUCCCAUGGAAGUUGUGGCUGUUCCAUCCCUGGAGGUGUUCAAGGCCAGGUUGGAUGGGGCUUGGAGCCUCUGAUCCAGUGGGAGAUGUCCCUGCCCAUGGCAGAGGGUGUUGGAACUGGAUGAUCUUGAAGUUCCCUUCCAACCCAAAGU